UAUUAUAAUCUUGGUAAUCUUUUCAUUUACAGAGUUUACUACUGCAGCAGUGUGACUGACUGACUGCAUGACUCACUGACAGACUGACUGACAACUUACUUACCUGCCUGAGGAACUUAUUGACUGACUGAGUGAUGCAUUAAAUGUGUAAACACCUAUUUAAGUAACAAGCUAAACAACUAGUAAUAUACAAAACAAACUAACCAACAAACUGACUGACUGGACUAACGUAACUGACUGAGUGACUUCACUACUUUUCACCACCACCAACAGUCAGUCUGCAUGCUGCCAGAUCUCUCGUGUUCCAAGGGCGGCAGGUGGUGGUGGUGGUGGUGCAGGAACUCUCCCUCUCGCCCCUCGCCACGCACCACGCGCCGUGUCGCCACUCUCAGAAAUGCUGACAGCGCCCCCCUCCCUCCCCCUCCCUGGUGCUGGGCGGCCCUCCCCUCCCACCCCGACCAUCGCCUGGCCCCUCCCUGCUCCCCACCCGGCGCAUGGGGAGGGGGCAGCCGCGCCCGCCCCCCGGCUGCCCCCCGCGCUGGCCCGUGACCCCGUCUGACCUGAUGUACCGGGGCGAAGGGGCUGACCACGUGGUGCUGGGCCUUAGGAAGCUGGAUAAUUAAUGAAGCACUCAGCCAGCACUCAGCCAGCACCCCUCACCUGGCCCAGGGACGUGUGGUGCGGUUGCGCAAGACCAGCAUCGGCAGUGGGCUGAGUAGGGAGGAGCUGGUGCGGCGGGCAGCACGGGACCUGGA